UGCAGCAACGCCGCGUGAGGGAUGACGGCCUUCGGGUUGUAAACCUCUUUUAGCAGGGAAGAAGCGUGAGUGACGGUACCUGCAGAAAAAGCGCCGGCUAACUACGUGCCAGCAGCCGCGGUAAUACGUAGGGCGCAAGCGUUAUCCGGAAUUAUUGGGCGUAAAGAGCUCGUAGGCGGUUUGUCGCGUCUGCUGUGAAAUCCCGAGGCUCAACCUCGGGUCUGCAGUGGGUACGGGCAGACUAGAGUGCGGUAGGGGAGAUUGGAAUUCCUGGUGUAGCGGUGGAAUGCGCAGAUAUCAGGAGGAACACCGAUGGCGAAGGCAGAUCUCUGGGCCGUAACUGACGCUGAGGAGCGAAAGGGUGGGGAGCAAACAGGCUUAGAUACCCUGGUAGUCCACCCCGUAAACGUUGGGAACUAGUUGUGGGGUCCUUUCCACGGAUUCCGUGACGCAGCUAACGCAUUAAGUUCCCCGCCUGGGGAGUACGGCCGCAAGGCUAAAACUCAAAGGAAUUGACGGGGACCCGCACAAGCGGCGGAGCAUGCGGAUUAAUUCGAUGCAACGCGAAGAACCUUACCAAGGCUUGACAUACACGAGAACACUCUAGAAAUAGGGGACUCUUUGGACACUC
rnacentral:rRNA from 1 species